CGAAGAGUACAAGAACGCUUCUGAGGAGUUCAAGAACGUCCCCGAACACGAGACCCCAAAGAUCACCACCACGGAGGAACCAUCGGCGGCGACGGGAGAGGUUAAGGAUCGUGGCUUGUUCGAUUUCUUGGGGAAAAAAGAGGAAGUGAAACCUCAAGAAACGACCACACCGCUAGCGUCGGAGGUCGAGCAUAAAGCUCAGAUCACGGAAGAGCCGGCGUUUGUGGCGAAGCACGAAGAAGAGGAGCAUAAGCCUACUCUCCUCGAGCAGCUUCACCAGAAGCACGAGGAGGAAGAGGAGAACAAGCCCAGUCUCUUACAGAAGCUUCACCGAUCCAAUAGCUCCUCUUCCUCUGUAAGAAACUAAUAUAGUCCGUACGGUUAUUUAUGAACUAGCAUAUAGUUUUUGGUUAAAUCUGUAAACAACUUCAUCACUUUUAAACCCAUUUUUUAAUCUUAUAAAAAUUUUAAUCUCUAACAGUCAAGCGAGGAAGAAGGUGAAGACGGUGAGAAGAGGAAGAAGGAGAAGAAGAAGAAGAUGGUUGAAGGAGAUGAAAAGAAGGGAGUGAUGGAGAAGAUCAAGGAGAAGCUUCCUGGUCACAGCGAAAAACCAGAUGAUUCUCAAGUUGUCAACACGGAGGCUGCAGUACCAGUGUCGGAUGAAACGGCGGAGCAUCCGGAGGAGAAGAAAGGGAUUCUUGAAAAGAUCAAAGAGAAGCUUCCAGGUUAUCACGCCAAGAGCUCUGAAGAGGACGAGAAGAAAGAAAAGGUGUCUGAUGCUUAAGAAAGUUGAACGAAUAUAUAAAUGAUAUUGGAGUCGGACAUUUGCUGUGUUUCUUUCUGUGAUGAUUUCUCCUUUGUGUUUUAAGCUGUUCUGUAAGAAUGCGUCUUUCGUUGGUUGCAUUAGCACCUUUGUAUUGUAAUUUGCAUUGUCUAUUCUAUAAAGUUCGCAUAUGGGUUCUAAGUAAUGUUUCGAGUAAUGUGUGUUUUCGUUUGCUAUCUCCAUAGAACUCCUAGUAUAUUUGGGUAUUACAGUGUCAUACUCCUAGUCUCCUAUCCACAUGAUCACAUCGUAUUAGCAAUAGCUUCAAAUGAUGAUAUCCAUAAGAGUGGAAAAAAUGUAAAAAACAAAUACUUAAUUCUAAGACCUUUCAGCAUGUCCCAUCUGGCUUCUUGAGAUUUUGCCCCACAAAAAAUCCUCAUAAAUUAUUUUUCAAGAUGAAUCACUGUCAAAGACUCAAAACUGAUUAGGAACAAAGAGUAAUACCGACACAGUUUUGAAAGAAAAUAUGAUAAAAAUAAAUGAGAGNNNNNNNNNNNNNNNNNNNNNNNNNNNNNNNNNNNNNNNNNNNNNNNNNNNNNNNNNNNNNNNNNNNNNNNNNNNNNNNAAAGAGUGUAGCAAUCAGACAUCAGAAUUUUAGUGAAUGUUUCAUAAUUAUAUUUAUAUUUGUUUGAAAAUAUUAUAAUUAAUGUUGCUUUCAUAAGUUAAUACUAGAUUUUGACCCGCCCUUUCUAAGCGCGGAUUUGUUUGUUUUUCAUUUAUUAAUCGAAAACUGAUUUACAAAUUAACAUUAUUUUUAUUUCAAGCCAUAACAAUUGAGUUUUUAGAUUUUUAUCAUUUGUUUUUUUUUCUCUUCAAAAUAUGGUAUUUGUUCGAAAUGUGGUAGUUGUUCUAUAAUAAUGUUUGAAUUUUAAGAUUUGUUUUCAUAUUUGACCUAGAUUCAUGGUUGAACCUAUAGACCCGAUACAUUGUAAAUAAUCCGGUUCGGAUUUAAUGAAAAAUUCGUUAAUUAAAAAUACGAUAUAACCCGGUAAAAACCCAAAAAUUCACUAUUAACCCGCGAUCUGAUACCAUUGAUCCGAUUACAAAAUAUCUGAUAGUAUUUUUUAAAAAAAUUGAUUAAAUUCCUCAUAUAUUUAUUAAUAUUACAUAAAUUAGUGAUUUCUUAGAAUUUGAUAAAAUUUUAUUAUGUUAUCCAAAUAAAAAAUGAUAAUAUAAAAAAACUUAUUGAUAUGAAAAUAUUAGUUUAUUUUCGUUAUUAAUAACCUAUUAUAAGUUUGUGUUUUUAUUUUAGAUUUAAAAAUUGAUUUAAGAUAGUUUGUAAAAUAUUCUUGAACACUCGUAAUUGUCAUAUCAAUAUUAUGUAUAAAAUGACAUUAUACAUGGAAAAAUGAUAUUCAAAUAUGUAUAUGAUAUAUGGUGUAGGAUAUAGGAUUUUGGUUUGUAUUAAAAAUAUGUAUAAUAUUCAAAUGGUCUAUUUUGAAUAUUGAUACGUAUAUUUAAGAAAAUAAUAUUUUCAUGUUUCUUAAUUUAUUUAUAGUUCAUAAUAUAUUUAUACUUAUAUUAAAUUUAAAGUUAGUAUAUCUUUUAAAUAUAUAUAAGCCCAUUAUUUAUAUUUUAGGUGUAUCUGUAGACCUAAAAUCAAAAGAUUUAAAUGUCAUUAAUGAAUUUUAUUAAUACCUUGUAAAAAUAAGAGUAUUUUUAAGAAAUUUGCAAUUUUUAUUAAGGGUAAAAUUUGGGAAUGAUUCUCUUUUAAUGGUAUUGAUUUUUGAGAAAUUUGCAAUUUUCAUUAUGGGUAAAAUUUGGGAAUGAUCAUUUUUUAAUGGUAUUGAUUUAGGUGUAUUUGUAGGCUCAGAAACAAAAGUCUUAAAUGCCAUUAAUGAAUUUUAUUAAUCAUUUGUAAAAGUAAGAAUAUCUUUAAGAAAACUGUAAUUUUUAUUUUAUUUUUUUAUUUUUUUUGACGUCGAAAAGCCAUUCUAUUACUCAAGCUAGAGGUGGCCUGGAUAACCAGAUCGGAAUAGAACAACCAAUAAAAAGUAACUCCCUAUGGAAGGAUCUCGCAGUUUUAGCUAAGAAAUCUGAAAUCUGAUUGCGCGCUCUUGGUACAUGAAUGAUGUUGAAGUCCGGGAAGCAUAUUUGAAGCGUUUCUAUCUUGCAAAGUUUGGCCAAGCAUGAGGUUUCUUUAUCAUUGCGAUCAGGUCCUUACAGUCUGUCCCAAAGCUCUGACAUGUCGAGUGUUGAAGCAUAUUCUCCAUUGCCUAUUGCAGUGCUUUUAGUUCCGAAUGCAUGGCUGAUUUGCGUCGAGUGAUAUUUCUGGUCCUCAUAAAUUGUAUGUUCCCUCUACUGUCCAUCCAAACCCAUCCAUAUCCACUAAAGUGAGCAGCAGAUGUCUGAGAUCUAUCUAACAAACAAAUAUGAUCCAAGCUUAAUUAUAAUUUUUAUUAAGUGAAUGAUACUUUUUUAAUGGUAUUGAUAUCCAUCAUUGUUCUACGAAUCUGUAUAGGUACGUGCCUCCUAGGCUUCUGUCUAAGUGGCAAGUCGAAUCAAAGCAUAAAGAUUAAAAGAAAAUUGUUUUUGACGUUCAAAAAUCGGUACAAGCACCCGGUUAAUCAAUAAUUUCCUAUAAAUUAUCUAAAUACCGAUUUAUUUAACAUAACAUAUUUCUCCAAUCCCGAAUGAAUUAAAAUCUCAGGGUUUGUUUCGCAUCUUGAAACCUUCCAACUCAAUCAGAGGCUAACAAUAGCGAAAAGAACAGAUCUUAUUGGGCCUGUUCGGAUUCAAAAGCCUAAAUCUUUAGAAAACCCUCUCUGUCUCUCUUCGAUUAGUCCUCCCCUUCUCUAUCGUUCAUUUGACGAGCACUCAAUGGCUUCGUCUGCACCACAGGGAUCUAUUGAUCCUCUCACCGGCAAAGAUCCGGCGAAAGCGUUAACCGCCGUAGCGUCUGGAUUUUUCGAGAAUGUGAAGAAAAACAAGCAAAGCUUCUUCCAGUUCGCCGCCAUGACUGGGAUCUUGCUUCUGAGCUUCCGAUCCGUAAGUCAGAAGUACCGAAUCCACGAUCUGGAGGAAGACACGGCUGUUCUCAAGAAGGAGAGCGAUACUUUGACGGACCGCAUGAGUAGAAUCAAGAGCGAGCUUCUGCAUCAAGCGUCCAUUGACUCUUCCGGCGUCUUUGCUGCUCGACUCCGUCUACUUUUCGGCGAGGAUAAAAAGUGACCGGAGAUUGAAUUUGGUUUUAAGUCAAACGAGGUUACGAUCAUGCGAUGUUAUGUUAUAGGUCUAUACAGAUGUCUCUCUGUCUGUAAAGGCUCUGUCUUUGUCAGGAAUUUAGCGAAUGAAUAAGUAAGGGGUUGCAGGGUGAUGUGAUUCAGACAAUGGAGUACCGUUUUGGUUUUGUCUGAAAUCGUGCUUGGUGUUUAGGUUUUUGAACUGUUAGGUUUUGCGGAUUUGUAUGAGGCAUUUCAUCGAACACCUUAACAGCGUUUUGAAUGUGUGAAAUUUUAACGUCAAACUGAACUGCAAUAAGUAUAAUUCAAUUCCGGAACUGGAAACUAGAUUUGAAAGUGUCAUGUGAUUGUUUGGUAAUUCACCAGUCGAUUCAAUGUAGUAACUAACAUAUGGUAUUGUUGAGGAAUUGAGUGUAUAUGAUAUGCAAUUUGAGGUAAGGUUUGAUUUAUGCAAUUUGAGGUAAGGUUUGAUUCCGAUUGGGUCAUUAAUCCGAUGAUCAUUCCUUAUUAAUUGAGGAGAUCGUUUGUUGAAUUAUCUAAACGUGUGGGGGAUAGUAGACUAUAUUUGUUCUCUUAGUGUAAAAAUUUGAAUGAUCAUCGAUUUUUGGUUCUGUGGUAGUAAUAAAUAAGUUAAUUAACCUGGCCGUGAUUGUCGGCAUUUUAUUUGUAACCGUGCGCACUGCGCAGGCCUAAACUUUAGGCAAACACCUGAAAUUAACUGUGUAAAACGUAAAAAACAAGGAAGAAACAAAAAGAGAGGGGCGUUCCGAGAAUCGAACUCGGGACCUCUCGCACCCAAAGCGAGAAUCAUACCACUAGACCAAACGCCCUCGUUGUUAGUUUUUUCGAAUAUAUAGUAUGUAACCAAUCCACUCGUGACUCCUUAAAAUCGCUGCUUCAUUGCUAGAAGCCGCCUUCUCCGAUCAUUCGAAGAACAAUGUCCGACGAAUCAAAACCCGCGUCCGGCGACUCAUCCGGUUUGCUCAACGGCCUCCUAACCGGUGGAGCCCAAAAACCACAGAGAGUCAACGAAGCAGCUCGAUCUCUUCAUCCCAAUGCUGUGAAAGAUCUGCUAUCUCUCGGGGUCCGUACACCUUCUCUCUUCCUCUCACUAGCUCUUACUCUUUCCAAUUAGUUGAUCAAGCCUGUGUGUUUUCUCUGCCCUCUUAGGUCUGCGAGAGAUGUAUUCUCCGAUUAAUAACCGUCACGACUUUCGAUUCCGAUUUGGCGACAGUCUCGUCAUCAACUCUUCGGGGCUGGCUAGGCUCCGGAUUCGAGGAAGCUGCGUCACCGGAGCCGAGCAUCUGCAUUGUUUGUUUAGGUGUAUUGCAGUUCGUUUUCUAUGAUGCUAAACAAACGCUGGUGAAAAUGAAAUCGGAUUGUGGUAGUGAUCACGCCGCAUGGAUAACGGACUUGGUGAAGCAGCAAGGUCAUGAGUUCGAUUCCUUUGGCCUUGAAGUCUCUCUGCCUUCAACUAUCUCGGAGAAUGAGCGUGCAGUCUUGUAAGCUUUAGCACCUAGAAAGUAUAUAUCUUUUUUUUUUUUUUUUUGGCUUAAAUGUUGAUGUUUGUACCAUUGGUGUAGGUUAUACCUUAAAGGAAAGUAUAGCAACGAAGCUUGGCUGCAGAGUGAAAAAGUUUCUGUGAAGGAUGCUUUGAAAGUUCUAGUCUUGGAUCCACUUAGAGCAUCUUUGGUGAGUCCAGUCCGUGUUCUGUUUUGUGAAUUGUUCACCUAUGUAUCUUAUAAAUAGCCAAAUCUGUGGCAAGGUAACAAAACCCUUUGAGAUUGAAGUCUUUGCGUGGCGUGGUUUUGCAGGGGGCUAAAUCAGAUUCAAGCUCUUUUCACAUCCGUUUGACAUACUCCAAGGCAUCUGAUGACGCUCAAGGCGUGUCUGAAACAACGCAUGAGAGAAAGAAGAGGAAAACAGGUAUGUCGACACUGUAUAAUCACUCAUUACUUGGUUGAAUUUUGUGAGAAUUGACUGAUUUUGCAUACGUUAUAACUGGAAAUGUCACCCAUAACUGUAAUCUUUAAGGAGAUUGUUGGUUUAAAAUUAGUUGACCUUUAUUUGUAAAUUCUUCUAUGUUUAUGUCACAAGACUCUUUUGAGUUUUAUCUUAAUGUCCAGAGAGGUAAUGUGCAUUUUAUGCCGACUUCUUUAUCUGCGCUACUUUAUUCUCUUGAAUAGUUCUUAUCUACUAAUAAUAGCAAUCCCAAUUAAUUCCAAAGGUUGUGAAUCUACUUAUGUUGAAAAGUUGUGUUUUUUGUAAAAGAUAUCUAAAGGGUUGUGUCUUUUACAAAAAUGUUGGAAAGUUGUGUCUUUUAUAAAAAAUUGUCUAAAGGUUAUGACUAUUCAUACAAGUAUUUUUUAAAAUCUAAAAAGUUGUGAUUAUUCUUUUAAGUAAUUUUUUAAAAUAACUACCUUUAAAUUGAAAGAACGCGACUAUUCAAAUUGAAAAGUCGUGACUAUUCAAAUUGAAAAUAUAUGACUAUUCAAAUUGAAAAGUCGUGACUAUUCAAAUAGAUUUUUAAAAUUUAUAAAUAGUCGAUGUCUAUGCAUUUGUCAAAGUAAAAUUUUUACUAAUCUCACUAAUUAUAAAAUGGUAAAAAAAAAGUUAUAUACAGUUAUUUGCAUGUACUGAUGAUACGAAAGGGAAGAGACACUUACCCCGCUAAAUCCUGUCUCAAAGCGGGAGUUGAGAAGAAAACGCAUUGAUUAUAUGUGUCUUCCUCUUGCUUGGCUGCAAACUGGAAACGGUUGUAUCUUUUCACAUUCACCUUUUCAUUGAAACCUUCAUCAUCUUCCCCAUACCUCUGUAAUCUCCAGAUUUCUCCCACCUUACCCUUCCACUUGAAACUCGAUCACGCUGGUGAAAAGGUCUCCGUCUCUCUCGCCGGCAUAUUGAAAUAUCUAAGUCCCCAAUCAAAUUUUCGACUGAUUCACAUUAUAUUGCUUGCUUAUUUAACCUAGGUCGCUUCCUUAGACCUCAACUGAUGUCAAACUGUUCAGCAAAUUUUUGGUAUAGAGAAGCACAAAAGUUCUAGGUCCUCUGGCGUCAAAUUGUAAACCCGCUCAUCCCGAGACGUUUCAAAAAAUUCCUUAUUGUCCAUUUGUCCUGUCACUACACGAAACGUAUUCUCGUGACGUUUCUGAGGUGACUCGUACAAGAGACGGCUGAUGAGUUACAAUCAUGCAUCGUAUGUGAAAAAUAGGGAAAGUAGAUAUACAUAUGCUGAUCAAAGAGGUGUGAUUGAAUGGUUGUGUAGUUUGAGAAUGAAACAAUUCAUGAAAAGAUGUAAAAACCAGGAACGUAUAUUUACAUAUAUUGUUCAGAGAGGUGUGGUUGAAGGGUUGUGAUGUUUGGGAAUGAAACGAUUCAUGAAAAGAUGCCAAGUACGACAAUUUGUGAUGACAUAAGCUAUUUAGAGCAAGAGAAUUUUAUAUCCGUUAGAUCAAAAAUAAGAAACAAAUCUGACUGUUAGAUUUAAUUUUUUUUCCUAUAAAAAACUCAUGACAUCAUCAAUCACCAAAUAUAGGUUUGCUAUUAUAUAGGUUAUGUGUUUAUUUUAAAAGUUGUGACUAUUUAAAAUGAAAAGUUGUGACUUUUUGUAUAUGUAUCAUUUUAAAAAGAUAGCAAUUCCAAUUAAUUUUAAGGGUUGUGAAUUUCAUUUAAAAGGUAUAUGUUCAUUUUAAAAGUUGUGACUAUUUAAAAUGAUAGGUUGUGACUUUUUAUAUAAGUAUCAUUUCAAAAGAAACAUGUUUUAGAUUGAAAAUAUGUGGCUAUUCAGAUUUUUGAAAAUAUGUGGCUAUUCAGAUUUUUGAAAAUUUAUAAAUAUUUUCAUUGCCCAUUUGAUGAGGCAGCUAUAACACGACCUACCUUGGGUCCACGUUGCUUCUUCUUUUCUUUUUUUCUUGUUGCUUUGGUUAUGAGUUACGAUCGAAAUAUUGUUCAUCGUCAUGUGACACGUUAAUGACCAGUCAUUUUUAUUUAAAGCAAUUUUGGUGGUCAGGAAGAUAAGGAAGAUAUAGACAAGGUUCAAGAACUGAUAAUCACAUGGUAGAGAACUGAUAGUCACCUUUUUAUUUUGUGGAUUUCUAAUUGGAAACCAAGUAAGGAAAAGAAUCUGUGUAAUGUCUUACAAUAUUUUUUCGUUUAACAGUUAGAGAAGUGAAGAAACUAAUGCUGGGAAUGAUUCGGAUUCAAAAGCUCAAAUAAAAGAACACACAAUAAACCUUUUUUUAUUCGACAGGAAUUCACAUUUGUGGAGGAGAACAAUCAAAGAGAGAAUAGUAAUAAGAAGAAGCAUGUACACACGACCACCAUUAACGUAAUUAAGAACUUUAUGAUGGUAAAACUCAAAAACACUCAGAAAAAAUGGAUAGAAUUAAAUAAAACAAGAAAAAAAAGAAUGAUUCGGAUUCAAAAGCUCAAAUAAAAGAACACACAGUAAACCUUUUUUUAUUCGACAUAAAUUUUGUGGAGGAGAACAAUCAAAGAGAGAAUAGUAAUAAGAAGAAGCAUGUACACACGACCAUUAACGUAAGAACCUUUAUGGUGGCAAAACUCAGAACACUCAGAAAAAUGGAUAGAAUUAAAUAAAACAAGAAAAUUAAAAAAAGUUGUGAAUUUCAAUUAUAUUGAAAAGUUGUGGCUCUUGAAAAGUUGUAACCAAUUAUAUAAGUAUCUUUUUAAAAUUGAAAAGUUGUGACUAUUCAUAUAAAUAUAUUUUCAAAAUAACUAUAUUUAAAUUGAAAGAAUGUGUCUAUUUAUAUUAAAAAAUUGUGACUAUUCAUAUAAAUAUCAUUUAAAAAAAACCUUUAAAAUGAAAAGAUGUAACUAUUUAAACAAAAAUUUUGAAUAUCUAUAAAUAGUCUAUUUCCAUCUUCUUUAUUGCAAUGAUUGAAAAUUAAUAGUCAAAUUAUAUGUAUCUUUUUAACAUGUUCUCUAAUUAAAUUGUAUUUGUUUGUGUUUUUAUAAUUAGUUUUAAAUAGUUUAAAUAUUCCUAUUUUUUUUAAUUAAAAAUUGUGUCUAUUCAUUUGGCUGUGUUGUUUGUCUUAAAAGUUGCAUUGAGAAAUUUUCAAAUUAUAUAAAUCUUUUCAACAUCAUAUCUAAAAUCUAUUAGUUUUUAAAAAAUUGUGUAUUUUUAUUAGUUUUAAAAGGGAGUUAAAUAUUCUAAAAAAUAUUCUAAAGACUUAAGAAUUGUGUUUUUUUUCACGCACAAAGAUUAUACCAAGAAUAUUUAAAUAUAUAAGGCCAGAAAUUACCAAGCAAAACCGCUUCGGAUCAUCAGAAGAAAACGUUUUCAUUUUGACUUUGUAGACUUGAAAAUAUUGACUUCUCCAUGGAAAAGCCUCUUCCAUUGUUUUGACAUUGCAUCUCUGCUCCUUCUCGAUGAUCAUUUUCAGAUCAAGCAGCAAGUACGAAACUUGGUAAACCACCAUGUGUCCAGUGGUGUGACACUCCUAAUCGACGGCCACGGGGUUUAGAGCGAUGCUUUUCUCACGAGGAAAUUGUAUAACACAACCAUCAACAACAUUUUCCUGGUAGUAGACAAACACUGGCGGAAAUACGCAGCAGUAUAUGAUGUCUAUGAUGACAUGGACAUGCCCGAAAGUUUUUUUUGUUGCUAAAAUGGAAAGUUUUGUUCCCAAAAAAAAAAGAAAAGGGCCUUGAAUCAACCCAAGUAACCUUUUACUGAUUUUAUUCCCAAUGAAUAUAUGCAAAAAUUGAUGAAAUCACCGGUGAAAUAAUUAAGAAACCUUCAUAAUAUGUUGGCAUGGUAACGGAGAGAGACGUCUAUCUGGUCCUUCACCAAAAGACGAAAUUGGUGACACCAAUGGUAAUAGUUGAUAACUGUGGUAGUGAAAUAACAAAAAAAAGAAAGUCACCGAAAAAACCAAAAACGGUUGAAAAGUGUUUUGGUAACUGUUCACUUGUAUCGUCUGAGCAGAGAAAAAAGAUGUCAAAAUAUUAAAAGGUGGGAUUGGAAGAAAAGCAAAAGGACAUGUAUUUUCAUCAUAAUAAUGAGAUUAAGUUUAAUGUCAAAAUUUUUAGUGAUGUAUUUUCAUAAUUUUGUGCGAUUCCAUCCCAAAAAUACAAUGAUUUAUAAGAUAUUGUAAAAUGUGCCAUUUUAAAAUUUUGUAUUUUUAUCUAAAAAUGAAAUGGCUUCUAAGAGAUUGUGAAAAUAUGUAAUUAUAGAUUUUGUCAUCCUAGGAAUAUGUUUUUCAUUACAAAUAUGAACCAAAAAAAUGUCAAAAAUGUAUAUUUUCAUCCGUAAAUUGAGUUAUUUUAAACAUUUGUCAAAAUGUCUAAGAAUAUGUAUUUUCAUUUAAAUAUUGUGAAUGAAUGUGUCUUUGAUUCUAAACACUGCAUUAGUUUAAUAAAAGUCUCAGUAUGUCUAUCGAUGUAUCUUUUGUAAUAAUAUAUGUUUUUUUCAUAAAAGUCAACGAUAUACAAGAGAAUAUGUCUUUUCAACUAAAAUGUGAAGAGAUGUGUCUUUGAUCUUAAAAAUUUCUUAGUUUAAGAGAAUUUCUCAAAGUAUUUAAUUAACGAUGUAUUUUUUCAUAAAGAUGUGACUUUUUUUAUCACAAAUUUAAUAAUUUAUAAGAGGUUGUAAAAAAAAAGAUGUCAUAUCAUCUUACGAAAUGUGUACUUUUUAUUCUAAAAACGAAUGGUUUUGUAAAAGGUUGUGAAAAUGAGUAAUUAUGUUUCUUAUCAACUUUAAAAUAUGCAUUUUCAUUAUAAAAAGGAACCCAAAAAUGUCAAAAGAUGUGACUUAUCAUGCUAAGAAUUAAAGAAGUUGUACGGUUAAAAUAUUUUAUGCAUCAGUUUGUUACAUGUACUAUUUAUAAAGUGAAUCACUAUUACAUGUAAAUUGGAGAGGAAUAUGUACGAUUUAAGGGAAUUUUUGCAACCCUUAAAGUAAAUCAUGGUUGGUCGAACAUUUACAACUUCUUAAAUGAAACAUUGCAAUCGUUGUGGAUGUAUUUUUUAGUGAUGAACUAUUGCAAUUGUUGGUGAUUUGUAGUCUUUUGGUGAUAUCAUUGCAACUUUUAGUGUUAACUAACCAUUGAAACCCUUAAUCAUCUAUAUAAGAAGUUGUGGGCAUUGACAAAUCAUAAAAAUCACAAAUAGACUAGAAAAAAAAGAGAGAUUUAGUGACAAAAGAUCAUCAAAAAUACUAAUAUGUUUAAAAAUGUAUUUUCCAUUUAGGAAAUUUUUUAUUGAUUAUUUUCUCACUUUUACUUAGACUGGGUUUGAUUGGUUGAAAUAACUUGAAAUUGUGGUUUUUUUUUUUUUUGCUCUAAGAGGUUUUAGAUUUUUAGGUUUGGCUUUAAUUUAUUUUGUUGUAGUAAUUUUUUCAAAACACUGAAUAAAAACUCUAGAAAAAGUGGUUUCUAAAGCUAACAUAUUUAUUGUAUUAUGUUUUGGCUUUAGAUUCAAUUUUUAAAAUAAAAAUAUAAUUCCUUCAAAAGACAACCGUAAAAAUUAAAAAGGAUGUUCAGAGCUCCUACAUACCCUACCAAUCACUCUCAUUAUAUAUUUUUUAAAAUCUAUAGAAAGCUUAUGGAUGUGUUUUUUUUUCUCUUUUGUGACACAAUAACUUCUUUGAAAACAAAAAAAAAAUUAUUUUAAAUAAAUUAUACAAAGUGGCAAAUAUCUUUUAAAAUAAAAUGAUUUCACGAUAAUAACUUUAAACAUGCAUAAAUUUCAAUGUAUGUGCCGCCAUUUGGUUAUAUUAUUUUAAUUGCAGUGUAUUUUUCAUGUAACAAAUGAAUAAUAUAUGAGCAUUUUUCUACAAUUCUCAAUUUUAUCUCUAUUUAAUCAAAUUCUAUUGUAUUUUACAUGUAAAAUAUGCAUUUUUUAUUCAAGGAUUUUUUCUGUUGGAGAGAUGCUUCCUUUAAAAAUACUAAAGAUUUUGUAAAAGUGCAUCCUUUCAAAAAGUUAAUAUUUUAAGUUUAAAUAAUAUUUCAGAUAAAUAUUAUUCUUUUUAUAUAGGUUUAUCUUUGAUUUGUGAUUAAGUAUAUUGAAAUAUGUUUUAAACUCAUUGACAAAGACAUAUUUUAAAAAUAUUAAAUUGAUUUGUUUACAUAUUAUAAGAACAAAAAAAUUGAAAGAUGAUGAAGUUUUUUGUUUGAACAAUCAUAUUUUUUUGUUCACACUUUGUGGAAACGUUACAAAUAAAAAUUAAUAUAUAUAAAGUAUGAAAUAUUUGAUAUAAAAUAUAUUUUUAGGACCAAAAAUAGGGUGAAUAUUUUUGAUACAUUUAUAAAGUUUUAUAUUGCAAUAUGUGAUAAUUUCUUUUUAUAAAUGAGUUCCCGUGCGACAUCGCACGGGUUCUUUACCUAGUAUAUUCAAUAAAAAUGCAUAUAUAUAUCCAUAGCUAUUUGUUCAAUCUUGUCUAGCAUUGCCUGCCCUUUGUCUUCUUAUGACGGUUUAUUCAUUUUUGAACUUUCUGGUCAUCUACGUCCUGUGUUUUAAAAGGCGAUCGCCUUUUGCGCCAAGGCGCAAGGCGCACCGGGGCGAUGGUCCUAACGCCUCAGUCCUCUAAGGCGAGCCCUAGUUCCUCAAGGCGCUCGCCAUGGUGCGCCAUUGGCUUAAAUAUAAGCGCCUUUGAACCUCUUAAGGCGCGCCUUGUAGUUUCCGUUAAGCACUACUUUGACGGAACCCUUAAAACAUCUUGGAACUCUAUCACUACUUUGUCGACCAUUUAAAUAUCCUUAAAACAUAAUGCUUAGAUCUUCAGAGUUAUAGGUUUUGUUGGAUUUGAGCAAUUGAAUUUAGCUUUUUAGUUUCAAGUUCUUUGUUUUGGUGUUUUGGGGUUUAUAUGUGUACAUAACUGACUAUAUUAGUGUGCAUGACUAACUCGUUGCUGACUAUAUUACUGUGUAUAAAUAAGACAGUUUGGUAUAGCUGACUGUACUAGUGUUAUAUACGAGUCUACUCUAUAACUUAUCUUCUGUACGUAACCAUAGAAAUAGUUACACGUCUGUAGCUAACACAUACAUUUCUAACCUAAGAACAUCUAUCAAUGCAUAUCUAAGUUCUUCUAAAGUUGUAUAUAACUAAACCACGUUUGAGUGCAUCCUAACCAUAAGGCGAGCGCCUUGGAGCGCCAUGGCACAAGGCGCAUGGCUCCAACCUCCUCGCCUUAGAGCGCCAUGCGCCAUUUAAAACACAGUCUACGUCAGUUCCUAUAGUUUAUAUACAGAUGUCCCAACAAUUACAGAUUUUCCAAGUGCUAUAUUUUAUUUGUAUUUCAUGUGUAGAUGUUGUUUAUGCAGACGAAGAGAACGGAUCUAGCUGUAUCUCGGAGAAUCCAUUUGAAAAGGUAGCUGUAUGCGUUAUCAUUAUUUGACUUUCAAGAACUCAUGUUAUCUACCUUUUUUUUAUCACCAGGUUUAUGAACCAUGCAUCUUGUCAGUUCAUUGCAACCAGAUGCCUAUCUUUUUCAGUGGCAGAUACUUUAAGGUAAGUCAAUGUUUUCAAGUUGUAUAAAUACCAUCAUCUGCAAAUUGUAGUUCGGUAUCAGAUGGAUUCACAUAUGACCCAAACAGAACUUUUACCACUUGUUUAGGAUCUACUUCAACUGAUGGUUCUUUUUCUUUGCAGUACUCCAGAAAUGUAAGUCAAUCCCGAUGGAUUAUUGAUGAUGAAAGAAUGGGUGAAGCGUCGGUUGAGGUAGUGCACUUUGUGGUUAUCUGGAUAUGUAUAAAGACAAGAGGUGACUUAAGAGAUCAUUAUAUAUCUUUUUUCAGGAGAUAAUUGGUGGAAGUAUUCUUCCAGCAUGCCUCGGGGAUUCCUACAAGUUCCAUGCUGCUGGCAGAGAAGAUAUUGAUGUUAGAAAAAUUCCCUUUUCCUAUUUCAUGUUCAAAGUCAACAAGUUCUUACUGAUAAUAUGAAAGAGCUGUAAUCAGGUACGGAUGUUGGGUUCAGGUAGACCUUUCUUAAUCGAGGUUCAGAACUCCCGCAAAUGUCCAUCUCAGCAAUCGUUGACGGAAAUUGAAGAAAAAAUAAACAACUCAGAGAAAAAACUAGUAAGGCCAUUGAGUACAUAGGUUGUAUCAGUCGAUAAUGUGGUUUGUUUGCAAGCUUACAAGCAGUAUUUUUGGCUGCAGGUUGGAGUUAAAGAUCUUAAAUUCAUCGGAAGUGAGUGUUGGGCAAUGAUGCGUGAAGGAGAAGCAGAGAAACAGGUCAGUUUUGUUAAACCCCAUCGAAAUAUUUUUUACCUUAAUUAAUAGUUUAUUUAGAAGUGUAAUGAAGAAUAUUGCACCAACUGGUCCAAUGUUUUCUAUAUAUUGCAGAAGCAAUAUGCUGCACUUGUAUGGAUUUCUCGUCCACUUGAAGAGAAAGAUUGCAACUCAAUUUCUUCCAUGAUAGAAUUGGUGAGUCACACUUGGUUACUCUUUGCCCUAUAUUUUAGAACCUUCCUAAUGCAAUAUGAUUGUCUUCUUGAACUUCUUACAUAUUAUGCCACUGCAGAAAAUCUUGCAGAAUACACCAAUAAGAGUGCUUCACCGACGAAGUCCACUGGAACGUGAAAGGACUAUACACUGGUUAGUGAUGAUCUUUCUUGAAUUUUGGAUUUUAGCUUCUUUUUAGUAAUAGUCAGUCUUUGUGGUUUCAAUCCUCAGGAUGAAAGUCGAAAAGAUAAAAGGAAACGCUCACUACUUUCUAUUGCAUCUAUGCACUCAGGUUGCAACAUCUUCUACACUCAUCUCAUUAUAGUUAUCAUUAAUUAAAAAUAAGGGCAAAUUUUAAUUUUUCAAUAAUGCAGGCUGGAACAUACAUCAAAGAGUUUGUUCAUGGAGAUCUUGGUCGUACUACUCCCAGGUAUGGUAGAAGACAGAACCUCCAGUAGUUUGGCUUAAGAAGAAUAGCUUUGAACCAUAUUAACUGCAUUUAUUUCAUUUUGGUUACAGCAUGGGAUCAAUUUUAGGUUGCAGGGCGGAGAUAAUACAACUAGAUGUGACUGAUGUGAAAAUGGGCGAUUCUUGAAGGCCCGAGUAACAAUCCACAAGCUCUUUUUUUUUUUUUUUUUUGUAGUUUUGAUUCCUAUAAAAUUAUAUAUUUUUCCCAUAAUUUAAUAGUUUUUAUUGGAUUUUUAUCUUUAGAAUAAAGAGUCACUUAGUAAUAACAUUAUAACGUGGUUUCAGUAUGUGAUUCUGUUAUAUCUAAAUUAGUUUUUUUUAUCAAAAACAUUAUCUUAGUGUAUAAAACUGGUUGUGUUAGCUGAACACAGCUCAUGAAGUAUAACUGUAAUUAUCACUGCCUGCUAAAAAAAUUAUACAGUAACCAGUGGUUCUCUCUCAGUCUCCCUCUCAAGAUGCAAGAAGAAACUGAUCUCUCCAAGUCAAAUUUGGAUGACCAUGAAGCAUCCACCAUCUUAGCCUUAAACGCAUACUGAUCAUUUGAUUUGCCAAUCUGUUGCAACUUAAAAACUUUACUCAAAAUUAAACUGAAAAAUUCGUAUAUUUUAAAAUUUGUGUUCUUUUACAAUCUUCUGUUGUGGACGUCCUCCUACUCCAUGCCUGGCUUUAACUUGAAUUCGAGCAAUUUUAGGGUUCGUCUGAGUAUAGGUUUCACCUCUAAGGUUAUUAUGUAUACACAUGAUAUCUCGUGGUAACUGACAUUGUCUGGCUUUUAACUUCAAUAGGCGACUAAUAUAACUGAGCAUGUACGACCAAACAACGUACUAUUUUCCACCAGCUUGAUCAUUUUGUUAAGAAAGUUUGUUUCGUCUUGUUUUUAUGUGUGUUUGAAGAAUAUCCUAUAUACAUUAUUAUAGCUUCUGUACGUUAUUGUCAACACAAAAUCAUUUCUCUUAUAUACAUAGAUACAAAAUGUCAAGAAAAUAUGAAAGAUAAAUGUUAUUACUAAAAGUCUGUAAGAAUCAGAUUUUAUUUGCAGAAAAGUUAACAUCUAGAGACUAGAGUUGGUAAAGUGCUAGAAAAAGGUAAGAAGAGUAUGAGUGUUGAUUGACGUGAACCUUACAAUCCACCCAUGUAUUAAACUUGCAAACGGGAGUGCCGUCAUGAAAAUUUGUAAUCAAGUCUCUCAUAUUGGAGAGCUCCAUGCAAACCCAUUGUCCAAAAUUAGCAUUCGCCUAUGUAUAAAAAAUAUUAUGUUUUGGUUUGAGAAUAUGUUUAGCUUAUCGUAAUUAAUGGGAAAGCUUAGUUUUUUCGCACAUUUUUUGUUAGGACAUCUCCAACAUCACUUUAUUUUCCUCUCUAAAAUAAAGUUUAGAGUAAAAAGUAAAAAUACUCAAAUAGUUCUCUAUUUUCUACUUUAUAAUAGUGUAAAUUUAUUUUUUACUCUAUGUAUAUAGUAAUUUUUUUAUUUUUUGUUCAUCACUUUAUUUUUUACGGUAAAAUAGAAUACCAUUAGAGUAACAUUCAUACUCUAUUUUAGAGAAAAAAAUAGAGUAAACCAUUAAAGAUGGUUUUAAGUAGUUCAUUCAGAACACUGAAAGCCAAAGUGUGGAUAUUUUCAAUACCCUCGAGCAAACCAAAAAUAUCACUUUAUACUAGAUCUCUAUAAACUUGGACUCUUGGACCAAUUAAACCCAAAAUAUCCGUCUACUAACCAGCAAUGCAAUUAUCAUCAAAACAUGAUAGGUUGAUGAAUACUCAAAAAAUAUAAAUGUAUAUGUAUGACUUGCGUGUUUUGUCUAGGGAUGAUAUGAUAAAUGCAUAACUAUGAUCAAACAACAAAUCUUAUCGUAAAAGCAUGAAAAUUAUUAAAUGUUUUCAACUCAUGAUAAACUAAAAGUAAGCAAGCUAUAACUUGUAUUGUAUAUAUAUAGGUCAGAAAUUAUACCACAUGUUUUAACAUGUUUACCAAAAAAAAAAAAAUUAUACCAAAUGAAGGAGUACACGUAAUCUCUACAACUGUUUCUUCAACUUCAAAUAGAAUAAGGGAACAUCAUAAUAACGUCGUGGACUUUCAAAACAAGAUGCUUCUCCUUUCUCCCCCCCAUUACUAUGUUCUUAAAGUAAAUCAAAACCUCUGUUACCUUUUCGGAAAUCUGGGUCCUUCUCUUUUUCUUAGUGUUUUUACCUUUUUCUAGAAGACGAAACAUCAAAAGACUUCAAGACUUCACAAAAAAAAAAAGAAACAUCAAGACUUCGCACUAUGACACACACCUUCUCACGAUAUAUUUCAAAGUUUUUACACUAGAAAGGUGGAAAAGAUAACAGGGUAUUAAAGGCGUUUACAAAAAGAUAUAAAAUAAAUAACGACGCAAUGAUCUAGAUCAACAAAAAGUCAAGGAUCAAUACCAAAAACGAUUUUAUGUAAGAGCUCAAACAAAAAGAGAACAACAGAAUCAAAGUUGUGGGAAACAAGAGAAUGGUAAUUAAUCCAAAGCUUAUUACCUCAUGCCAAAUAGAGGCUUGUCAUCACCAAGUAACAGAUCAAGCUCACCAGAUUCAAAACAUUGAUAAAUAUGGUAUAUCAAGAGGGUUUUACGAAGAAACCCUAACAGAUAUCUGUUGACAGUAUGACCACCUCCCUCUUUCAAACACCAUGUAUAUACAUAAACUUGUAUACAUAGAAGGAGGUGGACAGAAUGCCAAAGAAGUCUGUAAGAAACUCUUUGUCAAACCCUCGUGAAAGGAAAAGAGUAAAAGUGUAAAGAUCCAAUCUGUAACCCGCUCAUGAAGUUGUAUUCACCACUUGGAGAGAACACACACAUUAAUUAGAGGAGUCUUGUAGUAUAUGGUAUAGUGAUGUGAGAGAGGGAAGGUGGUGGUUUAUUUAUUGGAGGAAGAGAGAGAAAGAGAGUGUCCGCGAGGCAGAUGACUCCUCUUUAUGACGGCUAGCUCAAAACCCUAGAUGAGUUGUAAUGGAAAUAUCGAAGAUCUAUAGGAUCUGGAAUUGAAAAGACCAUAGAUCUAACAACAUUAACAGAUAAUCGUGUAAGAGAGAGAGGUUAGAAAAGGAAAUAUAUGUGGCUUUCUUGAGGGGAAAAAACUCAUUUUUUCGUUAUGAAAGAGACUGAAUAGUUUUCUUCGUUUUGUUUCUUCACCAAAAAUAGUUAGCAACUUUUCAACGGGGUUUACCUUAGCGCCUACCGUUUCCGUUUCCGUUUCCUUUUCUUUUCUCUUUCACCCUUUUUCUCAAGAUAUAUAAACGUUGACGUUGGCAAUAUGUACAAGUGUGACCCGAAAAUAUAAAUUAGAAUAAUAUCGAAUUAAGUCGAGUAGUUACUAGACUCACUACUACUUCUUUUGGUCGACAUUAAUUGAAAACUGAUUUUCAUCAUGUAAAGAACCAUAAAGUGAGUGUAAUAAUUAGCUAAAAAAACGUUUACGAUCUAACAAAAAUACUACAGUAUACAUAAUAUACAUGAACUAUUGUGAACUCGUAAUAACAUAUUGUUAUAUCAUCAAACUUUGCGUGAUUUUUACAAACUCUUACCAUUUCAAUGGAAUUCACAUAUUUGGCAAAAAUAUUGUUAUAUCAUCAAAUUUUGCGUGAAUAACAUGCAUGUGAUGUUGUCACGUUGAUCAGUGAUCACUAUAGUACGUUGCUCACAAUAAAUUAUUAAACUUAUUUAUAGUAACGAGUAACGUUAAUAUAUCCAAAACGGAGAAUAGUAUUUAGCAAAAAAAUAAUAUAAUAUGGCGAAUUUUGUUGGCGCGAGUUUAACAAUUUUCUCAUUCUGGUUCAUGCCAAAGGUACGAGACAACUUCCAUUUUUAUGGGUCCAUUUACUUGUCCACUAGAGGGGAGUGGAUUACAGAAUCCAAAGCUCGGGGUAAAAAUGAAUAUUAAGUCUAAAUUAACUAUCUCUAGGACUAGGGCUCAUCAAAAAGAUGGGUAAAUCUAAAUGGUUUUAAAUAGGGUCAACCUCUUCUCUCAUGUUCAUGGAGAUGGUCAGCCUCAUUAUUUAUAUUAUAUUAUAUAUUUUUGGAUAUAAAUGUAUUUUGGAAGAGUACAGUAUAUAAUGGGAAUUCAACAUCUUUCCCUGCCAUAGAUUGAUAUGUCGCACGCAUCACUCGAUCCCACGACCUUCAUAACAACCUUUUUACAAUUUUGCUUCGACGAAAUCCCUACUUUUGUGUAUAAAGAAUUUUCACACUAAAUUUUUUCUUUAGUUUCGAGUGAAUAAAGGAACAAACUCCAAUAAAAAGGAGUUAGCAUUGCUAUAAAUCCAUCCGUAUGAAUAAUAGAAGCACUCUUCAAGGUAUUAACUGCACCAACUCAUAAUAAUAGUACUCCUCAGUAUUUAUUGCCUCAAAAUCUACCCCAUCCACUUUUUUAGCCACCAAGCCACUUAAUCGUAGUAUUAAAAUUACAUUUUCAAAAAAAAUUCUUCCUAGACUUUUUAUACUGAGGAAUGGGGUACGUUACGAAUGUGUAACAACGUUUUUCUUAUUAUAUUCCUCGAACUGUUGCAUCUAUUAUUUUAUUCUUUUGGUCUAGUUUUAUUUUAUUUUUUGUCAUCACAUCUGUCUUUUAUUUGUUUUUUCAUAUUUUUAUUAAAUGAAGAAAUCUGUGAAUUCAACCAAGCUCUCCCAUGAAAUGGGUUUCGUAUUUAUUUGCAUUCAAUGAUAAUGAAAGUAAAAACUGAAACAUCGGGUUUGUCGGAUUGUGAUGAUGUCAGUGAAUGUAUGAUUAAAUCAUUUAAUAAAUGUUUUCAAAUUUCUGCUUUCCAGAUCAUUACAGGCCAUUGUAUUUCAAAAUCUGUACUAUAGUGAUUUUACCUUAACAAUUAAAGUGUAUGUGAAAAUGUUUUAUAUUUAUAACUUGAGCAAGUAAGAAAACAGAGAUGGCCAUGUACAUACUAGAAAAACGUAAAACCUGUUUGCAUAAUCUUUUUCUUAUGCCAACAUUUGUAACCCUUCUACAUGUGUCAUGUGGUGUAUACAUUUCAACAUUUGUAUAAUAUUUUCAAUAUGUGUGGUUCUUGUCCUUGAAAGGUUGGUGAAAGACUGAAAAUUGAUUUACUAAUAAAGAAAACAUUUUCAAGUCACCCGCACAAAUCAUAAUUAUGUUUUGGCGAAUUUAUUCCUUUCUUUGGAACCUUUUCCAUUAUGCAUGCGUAGACACUCUCUCAUGCAUAUACCAUCAUCAUUAUCGCCAUUUACUAGAAUUAUCAGGUGUAUUAAUUAAAAAAUCUAUGAACCAAAGGUUUGAUUACGAUUUUGUAUACUUAUUAUACUUACAUAGUUACAUUAUUAAUUUAUUACGACCUCACUUAUAGGUCAUAAGUUGCCUUGCUCAAAAAUUCCAGUUGAAUAUAUAUGAAAACAUCCAAUAUUUUUAUGAAAAUAAAUAAUAAGUUUGUUCGGGUCUGGAUCACAAGCUUCUUAGAACAUCAACAUCGAUAGAGCUCUUCUCAAUAACUAAAAUUAAAUUUUUUUAAAAAAAAUCAAAACUAAUUACAAUAUGACAAGUAAGUAGCUUUCUCACAAUUUAUUUUGAGUUUCAAACGAGAAACUAUCUAUGUUCUCUAAUUUUUAACAUUUACACCAAAAAAUAUUCUGGUUCUCUCACUUCUUGUCUUUUUUUUUUUUAAUAGAAAGAGCUUUCGUAAAAUGUGCUUUUUAGAGUGAAUACAACAUAGCUAGAAAAAUCAGAAAUAUAUGCAAAAUAUUUUUACUCAAUUAUUCUUCUUAAAAAUGAAUAUUUACUCCAAAAGUUAUAUUUAUCGUAUGCUUUAAUGCUUAGUAUGGGUGUGAUUAAUCAUAUUUUUAAAAGACGAAUAAUUGAAUUUCCAUUUUAUUGGGAAGAUCUACGUGAGAAUCCAUGAUUGAAAAUCUCUUUGGGCAGCAUUUCUUUUAUUUAUUUGAGAAAAGGAGCAACAUUUCACAUGAUGGUGAAUGUCUUAUAUAGGCUGUUCUUUAUACCGUUGUAGAGUAUUACUGAAAUCUUAAAUCCAAAUUAAUCCUUAAAAUAAAAAUUUAAGAUAAUGAGUGCAGAAACGAACAAGAGAAAAUGAAGAAGAUAAAGAAUGGAAAAGACAGUGUUGGGUUUGGUCGAACGUCGACAAGUGAUAAGAUGUCACAAAAUAUCGGCUUUUUGUUAUAUAAUUGAAAAAUGAAUCAUGAAGUCCCAUGACUAUAUAAUAUUCACAUCACUUACUUUCGGGUAUCCUUCCUUCACUCCUGGUUAUGCGUUCAUUUCUUAAGAUUUCAUUAACUGAUUGUGGUUUAACGACGAGUGUCAGUGUACUAGAGUAGAUAAACAGUAUUCAAAGUCUUAGACUCUUAGACCUAUGUUUUUCUUUAGCCUAAAAUUCUUGAAAAUUUAUUCAGUAGUUAAGUGAACACUUAUACAAAACGUCCAACCAGUGGCAGAGCCAGAAAUUUUUUAUACCGGGAUCAUAAUUUUUUUUUUCAAAAACAUAAUUUAUAAAUCAUUAAAAGCUACAAAUUAUAACUUUAAUUUUUAAUGUAUUAUAAUUAUUUUAGUAGGAUUAUAUAUUUUGUGGGGUCAAAUUAUAUAUUUUAAUGGGGUCAAUAAUUUUUUUUCUUAAACAAAAACAAAUAUAUUUAAAAAAAUAGUGGGGUCAGCUGACCCCACUUCUCCUUCACUACCUCCGCCCCUGCGUCCAACCAAAUUCAAAUGGUUCAAUCAGGACUGGCCAAUAUGAUGCACAUAAAGCUAAAUAAUGUUUUGUAACCUGAAAAAGAAUUAUAUAGAAUGUGUGGUUGGGUUUGAACGCUCAAAAAAUUGUAACUGUACCACUGCACUUAAUAACGUAGAUACCAUGCGAUGCGAUGCCUUUAAGAGUAAAUUACAUAAAGGCAAUUUCAACUUUGGGAAAUUCCUCCUUACUUAAGACUUUGUUUGAUUCAACUAAGUCCGGUUAGGACUUGUGUGUCUUGGGUCAGAGAUGAAUUUCUCAAAGAUUAAACGCAACUGACAUAAAUUCCACUCACAAAUAAUACUAUUUACCGAAAAAGGGAUUAACAUUCUCAUACGCUUGUACAUUAGUAUUUUAAUUGGGUUACAGUUACUCAUUAUUAUUUUAUAUAUCCAAAGUUUCCAAACUACUCAAAACGAUAGAAAUGAGGUUUUACAAAGCUUAUAUGUAUUUGUUGAUCUCCUUCUUAUGUAACUUGAAAAAUAUAGUAGAAUUAGAAUUUACACCAAAAAGAAAAAGGAAAAGAAAUAUUGACAUAUCUCUUUCUUAGUUCGAAACCCUAAGCAAUUUAGACAAUCUUCAAUGGCGAUAAACCUCUAGAAUCUGAUCAUGAUAUAUUGUCUAGCACACUGAUUCUUAGAAGUUUAAAACCUAAGCUCUUAUCAUUUUAUUUUUCAUACUGAAAAUUUACAAGAUUUACAUUUUAUACCCAUUGGGAUCAAGGGAUCAUGAAUGAUGAUGAAUAACUCUUCUGAAGUUUUCGAUCAAAAAAAAAAACUCUUCUGAAGCCAGAUCACGGAUGUCACAAAUGGAAUAUUUCUGAAGAGCUACUUUUAUAGACGUCUCACCUCCCAAAAAAAAGAGACUUUCUGAAAUAUGGAGUAGGUAGAUAGAUGCUCACAUGGUUUAUCACAUCUCAGUUCAUUAUGAAAGAUGCAAAAGUAAUUGUCAUUUAUAUAUCCUACGUCUACGUAAAAAGAAGAGUUUAGGAUACAAAAAACAAGGAAAAAUAAAUGGUACUCAAAAUGGGUGGCCAACGGUAACCUAUUAGCUUAGGUGCCAAUUGUUUGAACAAUAUAUGGGCUUCAAAGGCCCAAAUAUUUGGCGCAUUAGUUGAAGGGCGAAUAUCAAUCAUGUUACAGAGCUUUCAAGCCUCACUAACUAACUGCUGUUUGAUCACUAUACUUCGUCGUGGAGGUAUGUCUCCUUUGAUUCUAGUUCUAGCCUCUAGGGUUCUUGUCUGGUUCGAAAUAAAAUGUGAUGCAUUAAAGUGUGAGACUCUGAGCAAGUUCUGUUAUGCAGAGAAGGAAAAAUAAAUGUUUAUCAGAAUCCUAAGCUAUUAUGUAUGUUGGUUCACAUAACUUCCACAACCACCACAAACCAAAGCAGCAGACCCAACUUUGAAUCACUACAUUCUCUCCUUCGAUGCCAAUACAAUGAUCACUCUCGAGGGAGAAGACUUUGUCAACUGUGAAGUUGUUGGACAUAGCUUUAUGCUUCAUCAGAUGAGGAAAAUGAUUGGAGUUUCUGUUGCAUUCAUGAGGAACUAUACACCUGAAUCACUGAUCCAAACCUCUUUCAACAGGUAAGCUUAAGCUUUGUCUCUGCAUAUAGAUUUGUGUGAGGCAAACUGAUGUGAGGACUCUAUGUGCUAGGGAUGAGAGAAUAGCUGUACCCUGAAAUUGGACUAUACCUUGAUCAAUGUUUCUUCACUUCUUAUAACAAAAGAUUUAAAAGGGAGUCAGGAGGAGCUGUCAAUGGAAGAGUACAAGGAAGUAGCUGAAGACUUCAAAUGUAAGCAUGUUAUUGGCUCAGCAGAAGAAAAAGAUAGAAUUGUGGCGAUUUGGUUGAACGAAAAAAACUAUCCAGACCUAUGUGUUGCUUAACACAAACCGGAUGAAGUCAUUGUCUAUAAGAAGAUCGGUGCAGCCUCUGAAGAAAAAAUCCAUCACUAAUGGGGAUCAGGAGCUCUUCGUUGUCAAUAGUGGAAGAGAACGCAAUCGAGUGAUGCGGCUUUUGAUCCAAACCGGACUAGUGAGGCAGUUAAAACUUGGUAUGCCUCAUUUGUUUUAGAUGUCUCCGUGGCGUUAAGUUUAUGUUUUCCAUAUGACUGGCUGGCUACACGGUGUUUUUCAGUUGUUGUUACUAGCGUUUUGACAUUCAGACCAAUUAAUUUAACGUGGGUUUUUAGAUAGGAGUAGGACACUUAAACUCAACGUCACGUAGGUAUGACUUUGUGAUUAACUAAAAUCAUUUUUUGCUUACGAUAUUACUAAACGCUAAUCACUUAGACCAAAGACUCAACGGAUUCUCUGAGCAACCCAACCACUUAUUGUUAUGUAUUUUAUUAAAGGUCAAAUAUUUCUUAAGUUUAUAACAUGCACAUGACUCAUCGUUACUAAACCUCGACGAGAAGAGUGACAAUGACACUAGCUAUAGCAAAAUUGGUAGGAAGAAGAAGAUACAUCGUUUAGCAGGUGGGAAGUUUUGGAGUCAACUUAUAGCUAGGCCAGAAGCGCCCUAGACUUCUUUAAGUUUACACCCUCUUUCUUCUUUCUCCAGGAGGAUGAGCAGAAAAAAGAGAUUGCUACUUCUAAUGACCUAAACGUCGACUAUCUAACUGCUGUUAUUGUUGCCACAACCAUCAGUUUCAGUGUUUAAUACUAAUCAUGCAUAAAGUGAGAGGUGAUUUUAAUAAUAGAAAGAAAGAGGGAGUGUACCAAUCAUGCAUCUAAAGAAAAAAAUACUAAAGAACUGAAAAGAUAUACUAAGUUCUGUAUAACUUUUUCUUUUUUUGGCCAAAGAACUGAAUUUCAAAUUUUCUCUUUUUGGCCAAAGGACAGAGUUUCAAAAAGUUGAAAUAAAAACAGUUAGUGGUAACAGAAAAAGUAGCAUAUAAAACAAUUGUCAUUUGGCAUUCUUAGGUGUAAUGGCGCAAUCACAAAGAAAAAAAAAGUAAUAUAGUUCAUGUAUAUUUCACCAUGUACAUGGCUACAUCAUGACUCAAUCCAGGAACGAUUUUGAUAGAUCAUGACUAUCCACGCAACUACCAAAAGUCGAUGUGGACUGACGUGGACAGGUGAACAAAAAAAUAAAGGAAAAGCACACAAUCAAUCGAUUAUAAAUAGAGAGAAAGAGUCAUUACAACAAAAGCAGUUUCGUCGAGAAGAUUCAGAUCAUCAGAAGAGAGAAAAUGGGGACAGCUUGGUUCGUUUGGCAAGACUCUAGCUACCAGCUGCUGCUCCUGCAAGACAGAGAAAACAGGUAAUAAGUUUAUUCGACCUAUUUCCUAUAUAAUCUAUCAUAUCCUCAAUCAGUAAUUAUAAGUGUUUGGUUUAAACUAAGGAUAAUUAAGCCGGCUGCUUGGUGGGAUGGAGAUGAGGAAACAAAAGACAUAUUAGGUGGAAGAGAUGAGAAAACAGGAGGGACUUGGUUGGGUUGUUCUAAGCAAGGCCGAGUUGCAUUUCUUGUGAAUGUGACGAAUCAAACAUCUUUUACCCAUACGGGAGCCGAGUUGCUUACUGUCAAGUUCUUGAAGGUAUAGAUACUUCUUUCCUAAUUAUGAAAAGUUAUUAGUACUUGGGUUCUCAUGAUCUUGAUACAGGGGAAAAUGACUACAAGUGAGUUUGCAAAUGAACUUGCUAGCAACAAAGAACUGUCGUCUGGCCUUACCUUUAACUUAGUUGUGGCAGACAUAGCUUCAAAAUCGAUGGUUUAUAUCUCUAAAAAGUCUCCAACUAAGGAAGUCGAUGAGAUGAUAGAUCCUAUUGGUCCUGGUCGUUAUUUCAUUACCUCAGCCGGGAUUUAUGAUAUCUUCUCCUCACAGGUCAAUUAAAGCGACAUAAUUCUUUAGUCUAACAUGUUUUAAUAUAGUGAGUAACAUUUUUGUGUGGGGGAGGGUGUUAUGCAGGAUAAACACCCGAAAGACAAGUUCAGUGAAGUACUUGAUGAAAACAAAGAAUCACCGAGGAGGGAGUUUUAUGAAAAGUUGAUGAAUGAUGAUCAAAUCAUUGUACCUGAAGGUGAAGGUGAAACCGAUACAAGCAGAACUGUAAGAAUAAAUACAAUACAGUCAUUUUUUCCCAUUAAUCUGAUGUUUUGGACCCUUCAUUCAUCUUUUUGUUCUUUUGGGUUUAGGGUCCAAAGGGGGUGUGCAUUGGAACAACAUCGAUAGAGGUCAAAAGGGGUACUAGCAACAUAGGCUUCAAUGAGUACUACUGGGAGAAUAAUGAAUUCAAAGAGCAUAAGUUCCAUUUCGACAUGGAGUAGUUACAAUGAACCGCAAUGAGCGAUUUGAUUAGUAGUAUGAUGAUAUAUAAAAUAAUCUUGUUGAAGUUGAUAAAGCUGUUAUAAGAUCGAUUUAGGGAAACUUCUUUCCUUGAUAGAUAUUAUUAUCUAGUCAAGAAGAAUAUGGUUUAAAAAGAAGUUGGAUUUUCUUAGCCUUUCCUAUUACUCAAAUUUUACUCAAUAUAAUGCUUAUAAUGUUCAUCUAUAUAAUUCAGUUGAUGUCUGUUUGUAUGGUUAGAAGCAAAAGAAAGCAGAGCACUCAGGAUUACAUAAGUACAUUUAAAAGAAAAAUUAUGUAGUACGUACUACAUGUUUUCUAAAACCACUGUGUACUACAUUUUAUUGUCAUUUGUACUGCUUAAAAGACCCAUAUAUACAUAAACCAGACCAGCACCAACAUUAGAGAAACAAAACCGAAACUGUGACUAUAUGACAACCUCAUCUGCAUCCUUGCGAAGAAGAGGAAUCAGGUAAGAAUAUGUGAUUCUGUGCACGGUUCUUUCCCCUCCCCUGUAUAUCCUUAUAUAUAUAUAUAUGUAUGUAUAUGUAUAAAUGUACUUACACACCUACAUACAUAUAUCAUAGUCAUGAAUGCUCAUCUUGUAUUUUUAAUAAACUAUGGGAUAUGAAUUUUGACCUGAAAGAGGAUUUCAAAAAUUCCAGACGCUAAAAUUACGCUUAACUUUCACUAAUUUGAGUACGAAGAAAUUUCAAGACGCAUAUCUCAGCUAACAGUAACCUUACAUAUACAAAUAGUCUAGAUAAAUUUAGUUUAAUUUUGAAAAAUAUCCUUACUUUUGAUAUAAAUUGAACACUCAAAUGGCUCAAAUUAAAUACUAAAAAACACCAAAAUGUGACAAACACUAUACACUCACAAUGCCACGUUAUAACAUAAGCCCUGUUCGUUUGGUUGCCGCAGGUUUCGGCGUCAGCGGCAGCGGCAGCGUCAGCGGCGGCGGCAGCGUCAAUGAGGACAGUUGUUGUUCGUUUCGCAGACGCUGACGCUGCCGCAUAUCAUAUCGCGACCGCAGGUUUUAUCGGCGUCAGCCGCAGGACGCAGCGUUCAGACGCUGCCGCUGCCGCCGGUUCCUGCGUCAACGAAACGAACAAGAGUUGACGCAGAAUGUUGACGCUGCCGCUGCCGCUGGUACCUGCGGCAACCAAACGAACAGCCCUAUAGUAUCUUAACCAACCAAUAACAACGCAUCAUUAAAGAUAACACCUAUGUGAGUGUGUAUUCCUUUCUAUGGAGUUUGCUUUUAGAGCCAUUCAUUGUUCUAUCUCAUUCUCUCUCUCACCUCAUAAAACUCACUAGUCCAACAUCAACCAAGGUAUAACCCACGAAAAGAAAAAAAAUUCACUUAGAUAAACCAUAUCUUCAUCAUGGCUUCAAUAACCUCAGCCACCGUCGCAAUCCCAUCUUUCACCGGUCUCAAAUCCACAUCCUCCAAACCCUCAACCGUCGUCAAAAUCCCCACCGUGGCGGCAGCAUCAACGAAGCUCACCGUGAAGUCAUCACUAAAGGACUUCGGAGUCGCUGCCGUAGCGGCUGCAGCUUCCAUUGCUUUGGCUGGAAACGCCAUGGCAAUAGAUGUUCUCUUGGGAUCAGGAGAUGGGGCGUUAGCCUUUGUCCCCAACGACUUCACAAUAGCCAAAGGUGAGAAGAUUGUGUUCAAGAACAAUGCUGGAUUCCCACACAACGUUGUGUUCGAUGAGGACGAGAUCCCAAGUGGUGUUGACGCUAGCAAAAUCUCGAUGGACGAGCAAGAUUUACUCAAUGGUCCGGGAGAGACGUACGAGGUUGCUUUGACUGAGCCUGGGACUUACAGCUUUUAUUGUGCGCCGCAUCAGGGUGCUGGUAUGGUUGGUAAAGUUACCGUUAACUAAUAAAAUGUGACUGUAAUGUGACAGAGAAUCUCUGAGUCAGGUAGAGGCUUUUGUUUCAGUCUUACAUAAGGUGUUUUGAACCGAAUGGACCGUGAUAUGCUAUAAUGUGACUGGUUCCAUAAAUGCUAUUUCUUCGUUAUAAAUUAUAUGUAGAUUUAUGUCUCGCCCUAAAGUCUAUACUCAAGAGUCAAGACCAAUUAGGAAUAUAUUUAAUCAUAAUGUCUCAAUCAGGAUUUGAGUUCAGAUGAGUAGAUAGUAUCCAUAACAUAUAUGAAUUUAACUGUAAAAUUUUGAAGUGUAUAUUUAGUACGUACAAAUUCAGUUAUAAGACGAACUGCAACAUGUAAGAAUCCAUUUAUAUAACAAAUAUUAAACUAAUUUCAUCAUGUUUAAAUCCAGAAUCUGAAGCCUAGUCUUUCGUAUGACUGUUUUUGGCUAUCCCGAUUUUGUUUAGUGGCACAAGUAACAGAAAUUAAAUGUGGUUUGCUUCAAACCGCCACUAAAUAUGCAAUCAAUCAAAUUUUCAUUAUAUUCUAUAAUAUUCACUUACCAAGUGUAGUAUUGAUGCAAAUUUUUUUUUUUUGGACUAAAAUAUUGAUGCAACUUGGAAGCUUGAUUAUGUACUUGUGAGAUUGGAUGGGUUAUUUAAAUGGUUUGGACAAAAGCCUAUCAUAGGUUACAUUAUGUAAUAGAGGCAUAAGUAAGAUCUCUACUUGGUUUACGACUUGCUUAGAUAAUAUCUUGGAUUCAACGAGUAACGUGUGAGAGUGAUUCACGUGUAUUCGUCAAGGCAGUAAUACGUGAUUAGGGCAAUCAACAGUUUCAGAGGGAGACAAACCAAUAAUUGUGCCCAUCUUAUAGCUAAUAACGCAUUAAAAACGUGUGGAUUUAUUCACAAAUCGAAUUAUUUUGUUUGUUUGAAGUAUUCAAAAACUUUAGACCUAGUACGUAGAAACGAAGUUCCGACACAAAAAAACAACUACACAUGGAAGCAGGAACGAAGACAAGUUAAUAACUAGCUUUAACUUGUAGUGGUUUUGGUUGAUCCAUGGUUCUUCUCUUCCACAGAUUAACUUCACUCUUCUGUCUCGAGCACAUGGCCAGAGGCGUGCUUACAGCGCAUGGAAUCAUCGUCUCUUUGUCAUCGGAAGAGUAACCUCGGCGGUGAUGAUCCGACCGAGAUUCUUCACGUUUGAUCUCGGCCGUCCAAUCAAAUCCACCUAGAGCCUCUCUGCUGCUCGCGAAUUUCUUCAUUUUACACAACGAAGGCGCCGCAACCGCUUCCACCGCCGAGAUCGGAGGUUCGCUAGCGGCGGAGACGGCUACGUAGUUGGAUUUUCUCGACCCCAUUGAGAAGAGACGUUUUAGUUUCGACCAGUUUCCCUUGCCUGCUUCUUUAACAAGACGAGACGAUGCCGUUUUGAGAUUCUUGCGUUCUCUGGUCUUCGUCUCUGGACAUUUCGACUUAUUAGCGAGUUUGAUCUGACCGAUGCAGGAGACUUUAGGCGAAGUGGGCUCGGCGAAAACGACGGCGUUCUUGGUUCUUCUCCUAGCUCUUGAGGCCGCCGUUGGAAGCAACGGUGUUAUCGGACCAGAGAAGAAAAAUCCUCUGUUCGCCGUCGAAGCCGUACGGUGGUGAUGGAAAUCUCUUACCGGACUAAAGGGACUGUGACAAUUCAACAAGACACUUUUCUAAUUAAUACAAACUACAUGUUAUAACUUUUUAAAUAUUUCUCUUUUAAUACAUAGGAGAUUCUCUCUAACUCUUUAUAUCAAAAUAUUCUAUCUUUCCUAUGGGGUGACAAAAAUCUAGCGAACUCCUGCUGGAUAUGCCAAAGCCUUAUUAAAAACAAUACUAAGCCAAAACAUUUGACCACAUGAGAUAGAUUAGUGGUUUAAAUAUAUGUAGGAAUUGGUCUUGUUGUACUCUUAGCUUGAGUUCCGGUGCAAGUAAUGUUUCUGGCCAUGUUUCUGGUAUUAAUGUAACCUUGUUUUGGACUAAAAAAAUCUCUGACCAAAGGGGAAACUAUGACCCACAUUCAAACUAUUUCUAAGGCUAUGUACAAUCGUUGAAAUUAUUCACCACCUCUGCACUUUUAACACUCUACGUCAUCUUCUCUUUCUUUCACCUAUUAAUUCAAUAUUCAUUUAAUUUUAUAUUUUUAAUAAUUUUAUUUAACAAAAUACUAACACUCUAAGCACAUUUUGUCUCGUAUUUUUCUUCUUUUAUAAAUGUAUUUUAACAGCAAAAAAAUAAAAAUAAAUUUAAAACCCAUAAUAACUAAAAACUGAAUAAAUUUUAAUUUAACUUUUAACACAAAAGAUAUUUUUAAUCAACUUGAAAUAGUAUUUUCUUAAGAAAUAAUGAUAAUAUUGUAGUAAAAAAUGAUUUUUUGCUAUAUCCAAAUCAAAUGAACCAAUCUCUAUUUAUAGACCACACAAAAUUAUAAACCUUAAUAUAUUUUGUUUUUAUAAAAAAUAAUAUUUGAUAAAAAUAAUUGAUCUCAAAUAAUUAGGGUGUAACAAAAAUGUAUAAAAUUUCAUCAACCAAUGAUAUUGUUGCAGAUGUGGCAAUACAAUCCUUUUGUUUUUUUAAAAAAUUUGUCCAGUGUUUGAUCAGAUUUUUUUACUGUGGUUUAAAUUGAAGAAAAUCAGUAUAAUGAAUCCCACACUAUGCAUUUUCAACAACUUGAACAAGGAGUAAUCCACAUCAAUUUUUUUGGGUUUUCAACAACUUCAUUGCUAAGUGUAUAAAAUGGAAUCUUAGAUUAAUUAGUUUUAUUAUUUUAAUUAAAAAUAAUUAGUGAAUUAAGUUUUAUUGUUGAAAAGUAAUUAAGGCAUUUGUAAAAUUCUUGGAUACACUUAGCAAAUGUCAAUAAGAGUUCUUAAGAAUAUCUCAUAAUAUUUUAUUCUAUGAAUGGAGUUGCUCUACCAACCAAAAAACAAGAUCAUUUGGAAUCUCAUAUCAUCACUCCUCCUCAUGAGUGUAAAAACAUUAUAUAAUUCAUUCUCGACUUCCAUAAGUCUUUCUUUAUAUGUUUUAAAACAUUAUAAAACAUUAUAUGUUUUAAAAAUUGGUCCCGCUAAAUCAAUAUAGCACCGUUCGAUCUUUUUUCCAUUCAUACGCUUAAAGAAAAUGGCGGAUCCUUCUCCUCCCAGAUCUCUCAUUGACUCCAGAAGUGGCUUCUGCAAAGCAAACUCGACUUUCUACACCAAACGCAACCCAUUGGGCCUCCCGGCGAAUCCUUCCCUCGACGUCACAACUUUCAUCUCCUCUCAGCCGCACCGCGGCACCACCGCCUUCAUCGACGCCGCUACUGGCCACAGCUUGAGCUUCUCCGAUCUCUGGAGAGCCGUGGAUCGCGUCGCCGAGUGUCUCCACCGUGACGUCGGAAUACGGAGAGGCGACGUCGUCCUCAUCCUCUCUCCUAACUCCAUCUACAUUCCGGUCGUCUGCCUCUCCGUCAUGUCUCUCGGCGCCGUCGUCACCACCGCGAACACUCUCAACACCGCCGGUGAGAUUUCGAAACAGAUCGCCGACAGCAACCCGACGCUCGCCUUCACGACGGUCCAGCUGGCACCAAAACUCCCCGCCGGUAUCUCCAUCGUUCUCACCGAGGAGGAGCGCGUGGGGUCUACUGGCGGAGUCAACUUCGUCGGUUCUGUGUCUGAGAUGAUGAGGAAGGAGCCGAGAGGGCAGCGAGUGAGAGACCGAGUCCACCAGGACGACACGGCGGUGAUGCUUUACUCCUCGGGCACCACAGGACCGAGCAAAGGUGUGCUCUCGUCUCACGGGAACUUGACUGCUUACGUGGCGAGAAUGCUCACGGAGACGUCAAUGCACGGGACAUUCAUCUGCACCGUCCCGAUGUUCCACACGUACGGACUACUAACAUUCGCUAUGGCCACCGUAGCCAUCGGUUCGACGGUGGUGAUCCUCCGGAGAUUCGAGCUCAACGACAUGAUGGCAGCGGUGGAGAAGUAUAAAGCCACGACUCUGCUUUUGGUGCCGCCAGUUUUGGUGGCUAUGGUCAACGAAGCAGAUUCUAUCAAGGCGAAGUACGAUCUGAGCUCACUUAAGACAGUGAGGUGUGGUGGAGCGCCGUUGAGCAAGGAGGCAACGGAGGGGUUUUUAGAAAAAUAUCCAACGGUCAAUAUAUUUCAAGCGUAUGCGUUGACGGAGUCAAACGGUGGUGGAGCUUUCAUUGACACGGUGGAGGACAGCCGGAGAUUCGGCACGUCGGGGCCGUUGACGUCUGAUGUGGAGGCGAGGAUCGUGGAUCCGGAUACGGGUCGGUUUAUGGGAAUUAACCAAACCGGUGAGCUCUGGCUCAAGGGCCCGACUAUUGCAAAAGGUAAAUAAAUACGUUAGAUUUAAUCUUAUUAAAGCACCUCCAAUUGAUGUUCUAAACAUAUCUAUAUGUGAUUAUGUGUAUAUAUAUGUUUGCUAGUGGUAGGACGAUCUAAUUCAAUUCUAAUAAGUUUACUACUGUAGCUAUUUUUGUUACUAGUAGGUUUAAACGAUUAAGUAUGAUACUGCUUAGAUUUUUUUAUAAAACAAAAUUCGGAAAAAAACUUGUAGUAUUUGAUUUCAAGCUUUUAUGAAGUUAUGGACGUUGCAUGUGGGUUGGACUGAGCGUGAGUAAUCAAAUUUCGUAUUUAUUGUACAUGAUUUCGAAAUGUCAGGUACCAAAUGAUUUGUAUAUGUCAACUGGAUGUUUUGUAGAGAAGUAGCAAAUGAAUAUAUGUUAGUGGAACAACACGACAAUUGUUUUAUUUUUAAGCUAGUUGGAAUUUUUUUAGUUAACUGAUUCAUUUUCUGUAUGCAUUAUAGGUUGAUGUUAACUUUAUCUUCGUCGUGAUGAAGAUGUUAAUUAUAAUAUAAGAGAAUAAAUGAAUGACAAGUGUUAUAAAUCUUUGCAAAGUUUAUAAAUAUCUGAAAGAACAGAAAAAUGAAAAUCUUAAAUCUCUCUUGAUUUUUUUUUUCUUACAAGGUUAUUUUAAAAACCAAGAAGCUACAAAUGAAACCAUCAACGCCGAAGGGUGGCUUAAAACAGGAGACCUUUGCUAUAUCGAUGAGGAUGGAUUUGUUUUCGUUGUGGACCGAUUGAAAGAACUGAUCAAAUACAAAGGCUAUCAGGUUAAAGAUCUCACUUUGUUAUAUAUUGAUCAAUGUUGUAAAUUCUAAAAGAAAGAUUGGACGGAAUAAUCAGGUGCCUCCAGCUGAACUCGAAGCUCUUCUAAUCACUCAUCCAGACAUUCUCGAUGCCGCCGUUAUUCCGUACGUAAUCUAUUACAAACACUAUGUUUUCCUUUGAAUAUUUUUUUCCUUUUAAACAUCAAAACAACAUGAAGUUUUCUUCUGUUAGGUUUCCGGAUAAAGAAGCAGGACAAUAUCCAAUGGCUUACGUGACAAGAAAGGUUGAGAGCAACCUCUCUGAGAAACAAGUUAUUGAGUUCAUCUCUAAGCAGGUAUAUUCUGUCAUCACCAUCUACUUUGUAGUUGUUAUUAUAAAAAGUUGGUAAAAAUAAUAAACGUUAAUUUUGUGAGCAGGUGGCACCGUAUAAGAAAAUAAGAAAGGUCGCAUUUAUAAACUCCAUACCAAAGACUGCAUCCGGCAAAACACUUCGCAAGGAUCUAAUCAAACUGGCCACUUCUAAACUUUGAAAUGACCUAUUUGCUAGAUUCUCAGCUUUACUGACUGUGUUUGUUUAUUUUAAUAAGUGAGAAGUUUUAAUAAUGUGGAAUAAUUUAAAAGGAGACUUAUAAAAAUGUUGAGGCAAUUUGCUAAUGGAUGUUUUCUUUUUGACUACCUUGUCAUGCACUCAUGAUUAUUUGAAACAUUUACAGAUAAAAGAUGUGAUGCAACAAACCCUACAGUACACCUUUAGGUUUAGCCAUUUUGGCACUUUACAACUUGUAACGAUUAAAGGAUAUAUUGUAUCACAUUAAAUUUCUAAGAAAUUAUCCAGCCUAGUUUGGUAGAAGUUGAAUCGGAUUGGUUAGGUUCUUAGCAGAAAAAGUAGAUUUAGAUAUUUUGCUAUGUAUAAGAUCAAAUGAUCAAUUUUAUCACUUGUCAAGGUCGAGUAGGACCAGUCGAAUAAUACUCAUCUAUGAUCAUUUUAUUUCGUAAUUUGCAUCUGCAUCAUGGAGUAUGGAGUGGUUGCAUCAUACCAUCCACGGUCGGCCACCACACAUGUUUAGUCAGAAUGCACUUUGCCUAAAACUGAUUAGACAAAAAAUCGUAGUAGGUGUUUAGUUUUUUUAAAAUGAUGUAUCUGGUAUGUGCUAUAACAUGACCUUACAAGAUGAAUAAUGGAAUUGAUUUCGUGUGCUAGUUUUAGCCCCAGGCUUUUAGCUAUACAAAGCUAAUUUUGUUGUGCAGUGAGAUCCAUGAAGUAAUGGGUCAAAGAUUCAGAAAGUGUAUAGUAAAGUGGGCUUUUACGGUUACAUAAUCGGUUUAUGGGUCAGAACUCAGGACAAAGGUGUUUGAUUCUUCUCUAGCUACAGCUUCUACUAUUGGUUCAGAAGGAUGAUCGAAAACUGGAGAUUUGUGUUGCAUUGACAGUGAUGGAUUGUCUUUGUUGUUGAUGAUAGAUUAAAGGACCUAAUCAGAUGCAACGGUUUACCAGGUAACCAAAGAAAAUAUAAACAACUUGAGUUUGAUAUUUGUUAAUGCACAGAUCAUCCGAAAUUGUAAAGUUGGUGGUUUUGGUAAUGGUUAAAAAUUAAAAUGUUUGUUAGGUUGCUCUAGCUAAACUAGAGGCAGUGUUUCUUGCUCAUCAAUGCCUCAUAAGUAAUACAGUGAGUACUGCUUUUAACAUGAUCCAUCAAUGCCUCUAGAAAAGCUGGUUAACCUAUGAUUAGCUUCUUCUGUAGAAAUCUAUGUCAAAACUGAAUAUAUUGAUAUUACAAAAUGCAAGGCUUAUAUAGAAACUCUGUUUCUCUAUAUAUACAUACAAACAUAAAAGACUUUCGUCUGUAAAAGCGUUUCCCACAACGCAUGAAAGUGUUACAAAACUAGUGACUGAAGUUUGUUCAGAUCAUGAGCUGCGUUGCAACGAAAGAGAGGGAAUAUAUAUGAAACCGAUGAAGCUCCUUUGCAGGACAUGCUCAUGGACGAGACAACAUGGUUCUUCUGCUUCUUCUUCACAUCAUCAUCAUCAUCAUCAUCAUCAUCAUCAUCCUCAUUAUCACCAUGACCAUACAAACUCCUCUUUCUCAGCAACAUUAGGAUGUGAUCCAUCAAACCUCCAUCGCAAGGAACCUGUAAAGGGCCACAAAUGGUGGAACCAAACUCUUCCUCUGCCAUCUCCAGUAAGACCUGAAAGAUUGGAUGUUUCAGGUAAUCCAACGGCAAAACAAACCUCCUGCCUUCUCUGGUGUACACAGCGAAGUGUCCCUUCUUCCACUUCCUCCACUUCUCCAUCAUAUCGGUAAGUCUAAGACUCUUGCAAGAUCCUCUCUUCAUUGCUUUGACUUUGAUCUCUCUGCUCUUUGAGAUGUUACCAAUAUAAUACCGUUGUGUAUACAGUUUGUUAAUCUGUUACUGUCUGAAACUAUACCUUCCUCUCUCUCCAUGUAUAUAUACUACAAAAUGGGAUUAGUGUUUGUGGCCAAAAAGAAGGAUUAAGAAUAUGUGGAAGGAGCAAGGUAGCUGAGUGGAAGGAGCAAGGUAGCUGAGUGAUUUUUUUAUUAUUUGGGUUAAAAAGAUUAGAAAUGUAUCAUGUGACCAAAGUAAAUAUUUUAUUAUGAAUUUAUUGUCUUGCAGCAUAAACAAUUAAUUUGAGACUGGGACAAGCCAUAAAAUUAGGAUAUUUAUAUCUUACUAGUUAAAUAAUAAAAUAACAAAUGAAACUAAAGAUACCAUAUAAAUUUUUUUUUGGGGUCAAGAUACCCUUUAUAAUGGUGAAUUUAGAUGGAAAAUAUUUAGAUACUGUUUCUUUUUGAAUACAUGGACCAAAGAAUAUAAUACUUUCUGAAAUUAUUAUAAUAUAUUUCUUCCGUUCCACAAAGAUAAAUGUUUUUUCUAAAAAAGUAUUUGUUUCACAAAAAUGAUUUUUUUAAAUUUCUACGCAUAUUAACAAGUUAAAAACAUAAAUUGUUAAAUUCAAGAAAUUUUGAAUAAGACUAUUGUUUUAAAUUUAUAGGAAAAUGAUUUUAUGCAUAAAUCAAAAUAUUUAUUGCUAUAUAUUAAUUAUUUUUUAAUAUAUGUGAAAUUUUUUAAAAAAUUAAAAUGGAACGGAAAGAGUAUAAUAUUAGGCUUGUCAUGGUUAGAGCAUCUGCAUUAGUGAACUCCAUGGGGAGUUCACACAGUUUUCGAAAAAAAAAAAUAUUAAAAUAAACAAAAGCAAUGAACCUCCCUCUUAGAAGUUCACUGCACUGAACCCGGAUCAUCACUGUAGCGCGGGCCCCACGACACGUGGCGGCCCGCGGUUGGUCCGGUUAUAAUUUUUUUUUUUUUUUUUUUUUAAAAAAAAAAAAAAAAAAAAAAAAAAAAACAGAGGCUGAUUAUUUUUUUUUUUUUUUUUUUUUUUUAAAAAAACAAAAAUCAAACAGAAAAAAAAUAAUAAAAAAAAAAUGCUUUGUGAACCCCUUCCAAGGGGUUCACUAAUGCUGAUGCUCUUAGUGCUACAAAUUUCAGUUGUCUAGAAUUUUGUUUGCAUUUAGAACUUGGUAAUACAGAAAUUUAGAUUGUAUUAGUUAUUUAAUUGCGAGUGGUAGACUACAUUUUUUACAUAUAAUUGAGACCACAAAAUAUUAUUUGUGAGAAGGUAUAAGGAGAUGUGGUGACAAGAAUAGAGCAUGUGAGAUGUGACCGUUUAGAGCAAAUUGCUGCUGCUUUUUCGCUAUAUUCACGUCCUCAACUUCUCUAUUUAUCACUUUCUUGUGUAUCCAUCUCCCUUGUUUUAAUUUCUUCUUGUCUUUUUCCAAGUCACAAGAGAUCCUACAAACCUUCACUUUUCAACUAUGCAGCUACGAGGAGUACACCGUUAUAGUUUUUAUUUGGUGCAUGAUCUUUGUGGUCCUGAUAGAUGAAAUUUAAACAGAAAAUUUCAUGAUGAGGUCGAUGGACAUGACGAAAGAAUCAUAAUAAACAUGCUGGCAUGAACGAUACAAACAAUGGUGGAUCCAAAUUUUAUUUUUACUGGAGAAAGCAUAACAUAAUCAGCUUUGGUUGGUUAACAAGUUGAAAAUAUGGGUUAGUCCGUUAAAGAUUCACUUGUUUAUCAUAUUAUUAACUCGCUUUUUGAUGGUUAUGACAUUAUUUAUUGAAUACUAAGUUCAUGCAAAUAGAUAAAAACAUAUUCCAAAGUUUUAUUUUAAAAAUCAUUCACUGGCUAAUGCAAGCUCUCGAUAAUACUUUUCUCAUUCAUCUGCAUUUCACAAGCACAAUUACACAUGAAACAUAUAACUCUCUAAUUUCCAGCACAUACUUUUAUCUGAACAAAACCAAAUUGCAGCCGAAUGCUAAUCAGAAAAGUGAUUGUCGGAAUCUAAAAACUAAGACUGUCCGGCUGAGCCACCCUGACCUGACUCAGAUCUCUAAAGCCAGUGACGUGAGCAAAACUGUCAAUCUUCAUCAGCUAACGCCUAAUUGGGCCUGCACGGGGUGAGUUUUGUGGCUAAGUAAGACAAAAGAAGUUACAACUUCUCAUAGUCUCUCAUAGUGGAAGAAGCAUCAUUCGCUUCUUCUUCCUGGCUAAUCUCACUUUCUUUGUGACCUUCAAGCAGACAAGUAGUAGCAGAGCGAAACAUACCAAGAUAAACGCGAGUUGCAAUCGCUGGAAGUACAAGGAAACCGCUGAAAAUACUAAGAAUGCUAAGAUUACAAGCUCCCAUAUGACAAAGACUACAGCAUCCACCAUGCAAUCAAACCACCAAAUAACAGCUUAUCAACCAAGAAAGUAUAUCAAACAUAACUCGGGUCGGGUUAUGACUUUCCGAAUCCAUAGCAGAUUUGACCCGACCCGAAUUUAGAAGCCCAUAGCGUAACGAGUAAAUGAUGUAUUACGCAAACAUACAUUGGGCCUUGCGAGACCAUUUUAAGAAACUAGAAACUUGAGUUUUGUUGAUGGAAACGUUGCCGUAACGUGUACGGGAGUAAUUGAAGGUGGAUCAUUUGUGUUUACUCAAAAAAAUGUUUUAUCUUUGGGAUACAAUUGUCUCUUUAUCCUAAAAAAAGAGUUUUAAGAGAAAGUUGUAUGCGAUGGUGUAUAGUGGAUUAUUGUUAUUUUAGUCUUUAAUUAGAUCAAAAACAUACACUCAGAAAAAAAUGCAUGGUGACUCAAGAAUUUCACCAUGAGUGAGGCAUGAGCUACGGUUGUUAACACAGAUUGAACAGUAUCAGCCACAAACUAUGGUGGUUCUACAUUUAAUAUGUACACAUUUGUUUGUGUGUUUUCUCGGCUGCAUAAAAAGUUGAAUUCAGAUAGAGAAUCAUCACAAAAUAUUUUAUAUUUUGGAAGAUAUUAAAACUAUAUAUAUACUCACAUCAAUAUGUUCAAUCACUAUAAAAAAUACUCAUGAGUAUUUUGAUCCAUUUCCAUAGUAUUUUGUAAAUUAUAAUAUUUUGAUUCAUAUAUAAUUUGGAUGAGUAUUGUUUGAUCUGAUUUACUUUUUUCGGUAAAAAUCUGAUUUACUUCUUCAGCUAUUUAAAUGAAAGAUGAAGAGUAAGAAACUUAUACUAUAUAUUAGCUUGCUAACAACUUUUAUUGCAUUCAAAAUUUUAGAUCAAAUAUAUGCUGUUUAUCUGGUUCUUAUGAAUUAUGAUAUCAUUGUGAUCUGGAGGUUUCGUAUUUGGUGCACUCAAUUAUUUGUUUGCGAUCAAUUAGUUAAAAUUAAUUUCCCCAAACUAGCAGCAAACACAAUUGCUUUGUUUGGUAUGUGUCGGUAUAGCGACCGCCCUUAUGAUGCCUAAAAUACAAAGUUCGGUAAUGUUAGGGGUCGCGUGUACAUGAAACGUUUCAAUUUAUUAUGUGGCACGUCGACUUGAAUCUUUCAACCCAACACGACUCAAAAUAUAAUUAACUUUUGCAGUUUCCCAAAUGGUGCCUUCUCAAUGGCCCCAUCUGUUUACAAUUUUAUUAAAAUGAAAUGACCAGGAUUCGUCCGUAGUGGAUAUAACCAGAGAAGCCGAAAGUGACACUAGAAGCAUACAUACACCUUCACACCUUCAUACAUUUACAGAUUUACUUAUUUGCUUAUAGACGUUCUAUGUACGAUCUAUUUAGUCGUGAACUUAUUAUAUCAAUAUGAAUGAUUCAACGUUAAAAAAAAUCUUAAAGGGUAAAAUAUUUUAUUUUGAUAUAUAUAUAUAUAUGCGUUCCAUCGGCAUUUUUCUAUUUCUUUUGAGCGUCUUAUAAAUGAAAUUUAUUAUAGGGGCAAUGUAAGAGAUGUCAUCAAAUCGACAAAAAAUAUCUGCUUUAAACAAGAUAAGCCUGGUUGAGCGUCUUAUAAAUGAAAUAUAUUAAAGCAUAUAUUUGUCGUUUGGGUUUUGUUCUCCUGGAGAUUCGCGGUUAUAAGAAAAAAAUCUACGUUAUUGAACCCAGCUUCUGCGACGUGGCUUACGAAUCUAGUGGCCCCACAUUACCGACAUUCAUGCAGUAAGCCUAUCAAAACCGACGUUAAGUUCUGCUGCGGGCCCUUUAACGGUCUUCAGCCAUGUGUCUACCAUGAGUUGGCUUAAUCUAUUUAUUUCUGCAUUGAUUUUACUUGCAAUUAGUACGCCUAGGCAUUUUAACCUGUACCCGAAAACUCGAACCGAAACCGACCCAAAUACCCGAUCCGGACCCGGACCGAAAAUUUACAAGUACCUUUUGGAUCAAAAAUAUUUUUACCCGAAUAGACCCAGAAUCGAAAGGAACCGACCCGAAUAGAUCCGGACCCGAAAAGAACAGAUCCGAAUAGACCUGACCCGAUAAAAACUGAUUUGUACCCGAUUUAAAACAUGUAUAUCUAAAACUAUAAUGUUUUUGUGUUCCAUUUUGUAUAUAUUAUCUUAUGAUUUAGUUGAAAUAUCUUUUGUUAACAACAUUUGUUAUUAUUUUGUAAUAUUGUUUAAGUAAUAUGAAGUUUUAAAAUGUAAAAUUUAGAGUUUAAAAAUGUUUUAUUUUAAUUAUUAAUAGUUUCAUUUAGGUUAUUUUGUAAAAUUUUAGAUAUAUAUGACAAAUAUCAACUAAAUUUGAUGGAAUUGGGUAUGUCAUGUCUUUUUCAGAUCCUAAAUACCCGAACCCGACCCGAACCCGAAAAAUUAUGGGUAUUUUAAUUAUAGACCCGAACCGACCCGGACCCGAGAAGAACCGAUCCGAACCCGAACCGAAAAUUUCUAAGUACCUAUGGGGUCUAAAUAUUUAGGACCCGAAAGAUCCGGACCCGAAAAGAACCGACCCGAAUCCGAUCCGAAGACCCGAACGCCCAGGCCUAGCAAUUAGUCAUCCCAAUUACUUACGGUUUUAGUUUUUUUUUCUCAUGAAUUAUUUAAGUUGCUUAUGAUUUUAUGACAUUUUAAUCUACCGACUUAAAGAAAUUAGUACCAUUCUGAAAUUUAAGAAAAUAAACAAUCAAUUUUUUGCUAUAUUAAAAAAUCAAUUAAAUCUAUACAGCGUAACCUCCGCGUUGGCCUGGACCCUCAAGCUCACACUAUAAAACCCAGUCUCGUCUCUCAUCACAAUACUCAUCACAGCUCUUUACUAUCACCUUAAAAGCAAAGUUAAAGCUCUCAUAGUCUCUGUUUACAUUUCUCGUUAACUGUUCAAUAUUGAUCAAGAGUAACUAACCAUGGCCGAAGAGUACAAGAACGCUUCUGAGGAGUUCAAGAACGUCCCCGAACACGAGACCCCAAAGAUCACCACCACGGAGGAACCAUCGGCGGCGACGGGAGAGGUUAAGGAUCGUGGCUUGUUCGAUUUCUUGGGGAAAAAAGAGGAAGUGAAACCUCAAGAAACGACCACACCGCUAGCGUCGGAGGUCGAGCAUAAAGCUCAGAUCACGGAAGAGCCGGCGUUUGUGGCGAAGCACGAAGAAGAGGAGCAUAAGCCUACUCUCCUCGAGCAGCUUCACCAGAAGCACGAGGAGGAAGAGGAGAACAAGCCCAGUCUCUUACAGAAGCUUCACCGAUCCAAUAGCUCCUCUUCCUCUGUAAGAAACUAAUAUAGUCCGUACGGUUAUUUAUGAACUAGCAUAUAGUUUUUGGUUAAAUCUGUAAACAACUUCAUCACUUUUAAACCCAUUUUUUAAUCUUAUAAAAAUUUUAAUCUCUAACAGUCAAGCGAGGAAGAAGGUGAAGACGGUGAGAAGAGGAAGAAGGAGAAGAAGAAGAAGAUGGUUGAAGGAGAUGAAAAGAAGGGAGUGAUGGAGAAGAUCAAGGAGAAGCUUCCUGGUCACAGCGAAAAACCAGAUGAUUCUCAAGUUGUCAACACGGAGGCUGCAGUACCAGUGUCGGAUGAAACGGCGGAGCAUCCGGAGGAGAAGAAAGGGAUUCUUGAAAAGAUCAAAGAGAAGCUUCCAGGUUAUCACGCCAAGAGCUCUGAAGAGGACGAGAAGAAAGAAAAGGUGUCUGAUGCUUAAGAAAGUUGAACGAAUAUAUAAAUGAUAUUGGAGUCGGAC
rnacentral:lncRNA from 1 species